rnacentral:rRNA from 1 species
AUUGAACGCUGGCGGAAUGCUUUACACAUGCAAGUCGAACGGCAGCACGGACUUCGGUCUGGUGGCGAGUGGCGAACGGGUGAGUAAUGUAUCGGAACGUGCCCAGUCGUGGGGGAUCACGUAGUGAAAAUUACGCUAAUACCGCAUACGAUCUAUGGAUGAAAGCGGUGGAUAGCAAAACCUCUCGCGAUUGGAGCGGCCGAUAUCCGAUUAGGUAGGUGGUGGGGUAAAGGCCCACCAAGCCAACGAUCUGUAGCUGGUCUGAGAGGACGAACAGCCACACUGGAACUGAGACACGGUCCAGACUCCUACGGGAGGCAGCAGUGGGGAAUUUUGGACAAUGGGCGAAAGCCUGAUCCAGCCAUUCCGCGUGCAGGAUGAAGGCCCUCGGGUUGUAAACUGCUUUUGUACAGAACGAAAAGGUUUCUACUAAUACUAGGAGCUCAUGACGGUACUGUAAGAAUAAGCACCGGCUAACUACGUGCCAGCCGCCGCAGUAA